rnacentral:hammerhead_ribozyme from 1 species
CCAGCUGACGAGUCCCAAGUAGGACGAAACGCGCGUCCUGGAU